UGGCUCAGUUGGUAUAGCAUGGUGUUUGUAACGCCAGCAUGGUGUGUGCAGUGCCAGGGUUGUGGGUUCGAUUCCCAC
rfam:Salmo salar isolate Sally breed double haploid chromosome ssa12, whole genome shotgun sequence.